rnacentral:rRNA from 1 species
CGCGUAGGUGGUAGUGUAAGUCUGGGGUGGAAUCCCAGGGCUUAACCCUGGAACUGCCUUGGAAACUGUAUUACUUGAGUCAGUGAGGGGAGGGUAGAAUUCCUGGUGUAGCGGUGAAAUGCGUAGAUAUCAGGAGGAAGGCCUGUGGCGAAGGCGGCCCUCUGGCGCUGGACUGACACUGAGGCGCGAAAGCGUGGGGAGCAAACAGGAUUAGAUACCCUGGUAGUCCACGCCCUAAACGGUGGGCACUAGGUGUAGGGCUCGUAAGGGUUCUGUGUCGAAGGGAAACCAUUAAGUGCCCCGCCUGGGGAGUACGGCCGCAAGGUUGAA